CCUGCCUCCCAGGAAGUCCGAGAGAGGUGAGCACCUCCUGUGAAAGGCCUCAGCAACCCUAGCCCCUGGACCUGUCACUAGGCUGCUCUCGAUGCCAACUCCCCUCUUGAAAGACUUCCUAAACAACACCAUCGCACUUUCCUACAAAGCACACGGCGUCAGAAAAGGAAACUUGAAAAAUUCAGCCAUCUUAGCCUUCCCUGGAAACAACCGCUCUUCUGGAGAGCCUCAGGGUAACCCAGGAGCCUGGACUCUGAAAGCCCCUACCAUGCGGAAGAAGUGUUAGCAAAUGGGCUUCUUUCAGUACAAGAGGAAAAGCCAUUUGCACACGCAGCCCAGCUCAGUGACUUCAUGGCAAAGGGAGCUGGAGGCCCUGAUGAGGCUGCCUGGUGUGCGGUGUCAUGUCAAUAAAUACCUGAGACUUCCCAAGAGCCACAGAGAGCAGCGAACAGAAAAGAGUUAGCAAGGUCUGCCAACACAGCUCUCUGGAGCCAUCCUACUGAUUCGCUUGGGAAUGCCCACAGCUUCACAAAGCAGAUGUGGCUCAAUGAAAUGCCCACUUCAGGCUCAAUGGCAGGAAAGCGGCUCCCCCCGCCACAUCAAUCUCCAGCAGGUCAAGUCACCUCCUCCGCUGUCCGCCAGGACGAGAGGGUGGGCUCUGCCGCAGGAGACCUGUAGCACCUGUGUCUCCUGAGGUCUGUCCAGAGGUAGUGGGAUGGGUGAGGGCUCCAAAACAUCCUCCUAUCCCCUUGCUGAAACCACCACCAUCAGGGUCAGUGCAUUGACAGAGGAUCAUAGCAUUUGUAACACUAAAGGUCAUACUGCCUGACCCCCACGUUGUUACCCAGUCAGAGAUCAGAAUGACUUCCUCAAGGCACGUAAGUUAGAGGCUGAGCAAGGACUAGAAAGCCGGUCUCCAGCUCCAGCACACUGCACCACAUCACCUCCAUGACACAGUGACUUAUUGAAAAUCAUCCUUAGUCAGUAAAGAAAGCUUCUCCCAUGUCAUUUAAUACCACUUGAAUUUUUCAGGAAAGGAAAUGCAUUUUCUUCCUGCAACAUCCACUCCGAUUCCUCAGGAAGGUGAAGAACAGCAUGUUAUAUGACACCACUUAACUGAAAAGGAGACCAAAAGAAUACGCAGAUGCAUUCCUUUGCAGAUGCAUUAAAUCUCUUUAGAAGGACAAACUGAAAACUCUUAACACAGGCUGUCCACAGGGAAAAAAAGUCAUGAUGCUGGGAGGACAGAGGUGGAAGGCAGACUUUUCAUCACAUCUUCUACUGCACCUUAAGGAUUCCAAAUUAUGCAAAUAGGUUAUCUAUUAAAAAAACACAAUUUCAAUAUUUAAAUAAGCAAGUAAGGAGGAAAAAUGUUUAGAAGUCACUCUAAAGAAGAACCUUAUUGUUCUUUAAAACCCUACUGGAGAAGCCAGGCUGGUCUUCAUAAGGAAUUCCUCUCCUAAGUUGGUUGUUUGCUUGUUUGCUUGUUUGUUCGUUGUGCUGAGGAAGAUUCAUCAUGAUCUAACAUCUGCUGCCAAUCUUCGUCCUCUUUUUUGCUGAGGUAGAUUUAGGCUGAGCUAAUAUCUAUGGCCAAUCUUCUACUCUUUUGUAGGUGAGCCGCCGCCACAGCAUGGCCACCAGUGAGCGGUGCAGGUCUGCACCCAGGAACUGAACUCAGGUCACCAAAGCAGAGCACACCAAACUUAACCACUAGGCCACUGGGGCUCACUCCCUCACACAGGUUUUAAACGAUGAGGUUUUGAGUAUUCACAAUGGAGGCUGGAGGUUAGGAGAAGAUCUGCAAAUACACUAGUUCUCAACCUACUCCCCACUAAUGAUCCCCUAUUUUCUCCCAGGAACCCCAUGUUUAACAAGAUUUUCCCCACCAAAUAAACAGCAUUAUUACUAUUAUAUACACUUGCCCAUUAGUAUCCAUGAGUGACUGACAUAAUUUCAGACAGAGCUUUGAUCUGCAUCAAAUAACUGGUUUUUUAUAAUGAGAUGAUGUGAUUCUAGGCAAAAUCAAAGAAACUGGAAAAUGAUGUUAGCCUAUACAGCCCUAUAAGCUGAAAACGCAGAAUACUUCAAAAUACUGAAAAGUGACUCACAUCCCCCAUUACCACCUGCACAGACCCCUAAGGGCCUGGCAAGCAGUAAAGACAUAACAUUGAAAGGGAAUCUGGCUCUAGGUCCAACUACUAAUUGACAGGAAAUACAGACGACAGAGGAUCAUGUCAAAUGGCACAACACGGAUGCAUUCAACAAACUCCAGACUGGAAAACUGUAUAGAAUAAACAAUGUGAUUUCAUCAAUAAAUAAAUUUCAAGGAGGAAACAUUGAAAGAGACUUAAAAGACUUUUAAAAGUCUUAUCAACCAAUUGCAAUGUCUGCACAUUAUCUGGAUCUUGAUUGAAGAAAACGUUUUAAAUAAAAUAAAAAUCUUAGGACAUUUAUGAGACAACCGGCAAUGUGAACACUGACUGGAUAUUUGAUAUGAAGGGACUAUACUCUUAAUUUUUAGGUGCAAUAAUGAUGUUGCAUUUAUCUUCUUUUUUUUGAGGCCAUAUUUUUUAAGAUACACACUGAAAUAUUUAUGAACAAAAAUCAAUGACGUUAGUAUUUGCUCCAAAUUUAUCAGGGGGAAGGUGGGGAAAUGGAUAAAACAAGCCUGGCCUGAGCUGAUGAUGGCUGAAGCUGGUGACGGUCCGUGGGAUGCAUUAUCGUAUUCUGUCCAAGUCUGUAUAUGCCUACAACUGUUCCUAAUGAAACGGAUAAAGAAACAUAAUGUGGCAUCUCACAGCCCAGAGAGAGUUCAAUACUAAGGAUAAACGAAUUCUGAUAUAAAACGAAGUGAAAAAAGGCAGAAAAUAAAACAUAUGCUAUGAUCAGAAUUACAUAAAAAACAUAUUUGCAAAUGAAUGAGGGAACAAGAGAAAAAUGAAAAGAAAGGUUUGUCUAGUAUAUAUUUCUGGGUAAUUUCCCCUUUAUUUUAAAAAACGUUUCUUAUUGUACUUAUAAUAUGGAUGGACUAAUGUCCAUUUUUUGAAAAGCCAUCAUAAAUCACUUCUAGCAUUACUGCAAUCCAAUUUCAAAUAUCUGGAAUACAUCUAUCUAAGAUAGAAUAUCUCUAUCUUAAGGAUUUCACUGAAUUUUCCCCAGAACACAUUCUAGGCUCUGCAGAGUGUUUCAGGCUAUCUCCAAGCUAGGAAAGAAUGGUCGUCUCUCUGGGGCCAAAAGACAACAUCUUUCUUAUCACGAAACGCCCUUUUGUCUAAAGGUUCACAGUUAUCACCAAACAGGCUGAAAAAUAAUCUAGUCCAGAGAGUUUCAAGCAACGCGCCCUUACAGCCUCCUUCUGUGUUGUUGUUCUGGUUUGGUUUAUGUCAUCAGAUUCCUGAAAGUCAGAGAGAGCUUUCUCAGCCCAAUCACAGCAGAGAAAGCCAAGGGGAGAGCACACACUUCUCUCUUUCUGGCUCCUGUGAAAUCUAAGCUGAGAACCUUUGAGUCCCAUUCCCCAAACUUUCGUCACAUCCUUGGUUUUAGAGGACAGCAGCAUGAAUCCAUAGCCACAGGCGGCAGAGGAAAUCUGAAAAAGAGUUCCCAGAAAGUAUCAUACUGCUUGGCGACGUCAAGUGUUUCCAGCAAGAAACGGCAGCUUGUUGACCCAUUCCAAGAGCAGACACUAUUAACACAGCAACUAACACCACAGAAUGUUUACUAUGUGCUAAGUGUCUGAGAGGCACUAUCUCAUUUCACCUGCACAUUCACCCAGUGAUCUAAGUGUCAUAUCCUCCCCACUCAGCAAGACACAGGCUCACAGAGCAGUUCAGCUGAAGACCCCCCUAGUUUGAAUCUUGACAACACCAUGGGACCUACAGCUGUUAGACCCUUACCAGCUGUGUGACCUAGGUAGACUGCUUAACCUCUCUGUGUCUGUUUCCCUGUAUGUGAAAUGGAGAUGACAGCAGCAUCUCUCUUAUUGGGUUGUUCCGAGAACUAAAUGAGUCAAGAGAGCUAAAGCCCCUGGGGUAAAUAGUACGUGACGUAACAUAAGAGUGACGGGAUGUACUCAAUAUUAUCACUGGUGGUGAUAAUAAACAAAAGCCAACAAAAUUGGAAAUGAACAUGUAAAACUGUCUUUAUUCACAGACAACCAGAGAGCAUGAUCCUAUAUGUAGAAAUUCCUAAGGAAUACACAAAAAUCUACAGAAAUAAACAAGUUCAGCAAAGUCACAAGAGAAAAGGUGAAUACAAACACCAACUGUAUUUCUACAAACUAAGAAUGAACACUCCAACAGUUAAAUUAAAAAUACAAUUUAUUCAAAAUACCUCAAAAAGAAUAAAAUGCUUAGGAAUAAAUUUAACAAUACAAAUCUAAGAGUUGUAUACUGAAAAUUACAAAACACAGUUGAGAAAAAUUAAACACUACUUGAAUGGGGAGAUUUUCCAUGUUCAUAGACUGAAAGACUCACAAUUGUUUAGAUGGCAUUUGUGCCAAAAUGCAUCUACAGAUUCAACACAAUCUCUAUUAAAAUCCGGAAAGAAUUUUUGCAGAAAGUGACAAGCUAAUCCUAAAAUUUGUAUGGAAAAGCAAGACUCAGAAUAGUGAAAACAAUUUCCAAAAACAAGGACCAGCUGGAGGACUUCUAUUUCCCAAAUUCAAAACUUCUGAUAAAGCUACAGUAAUCAAGAGAGUGUAAUCUUAGCAUAAGGACAAACAUAUCGAUCAACGCAACAGAACUGAGCGGUCUCAAAUCAAUCCUUAGUUUUACAGCCAACUGAUUCCAACAAACGCACUAAGACAAUUCAACAAGGAAAGGAUAGUCUUUCAACUAAUGAUCCUAGGACAACCGGCUAUCCACAGGAAAAAGGGCCAUAACACACCAUACACAAAAAUCAACUCAAGUGGCUGGCUCAUAGACCUAAACACAAGACCUAAAACUAUGAAGCUCCUAGAAGAAAACAUGGGAAGAAUAUGUUUGCGAUGUCGGGUUAGGCAAAGAUUUCUUAGAUAUACCGAAAGCACAAUCCAGGGCAGAAAAGCCAUCAAUUGAAUUCCAUUAAAAUUAAAAAAUUUUGCUCUUCAAAGGACACUCUCAAGAAAAUACAAAGAAAAGCAGUAGAUUGGCAGAAAAUACUUGCACAUAUCCUACAUGUCAUAAAGUACCUGCAUCCAUCUGGAACACAUAAAUCACCGUUACAACUCCCUAUUAAGAAGGAAACAACUCAACUUUUCAUUCAUUUGGAGCUUGAACUCCUGUUUCUCUUGCUCUCGCCCCUUUUCAGUUAAAGAUCACUCCUCACCCUUGGCAGAGAAGGCGGAAACCAAACUGGGCCGAUCCGCUCCUUCUUCAUCGGCCACCAAGGCUUCCAGAACCGGCGCCAAGGAGAACCCGUCCUGACACAUUUUCGCUCUUCCGAGCGUCGGCUCCCAGAUGAGCCGCCCCGGGGAGCCGCCCUCUGCUGCCGUCUUCUCAAACCUGAGGCAACGCAGAGGCCUGCAGUGCAGCCAUUCGAGUGCGUUCGGACCUUCGCUCCUUCCUCUCUCACCCCUGCACCCGCUCGGGCGACACGUCCUUUCCCAGCUGCUCAGCGACUCCAGCCGGCCCACGGCUUCCCUGACCUUUGGCAGCCGCCCUUCCGAACAGCAGAACUUCAGGAGUCAGACGGCCCGAGUGCGGAGCCCACUGUGCGUCCGCCUGCCAGCUGUGGGGCCGGGGCCUGUCCCUUGACGUCUCUGAGCCUCCCUCUCCUCCCUCAACUGUGGUGACAACCCCGACCCCCGGGGGAGGAGCAGAUGCCCAGCCGCUCCAUCACUGUGGGCAGCGCGCCAACCGCCUUCCCUUCCGGGGCCUUCAGCCGCCGGAGAGGCGUCUGCCCGGAAGCUGACCCCGUGCCUCGCAGCUUCUCCAAGAGACCGAGGACCCGGGGAGCAGCGGCGGAGGCGAGGGCGGACGGAGGGAGGAAGGCGCCGCCCGGAUCUUCGGCUCCGGCUCCAUUCGGGAGGGCACUGGAGGGGGCCUGCGGCGCGGCCGCGAGCCGGCGGGGCUCGGCCCGGAGCUGGGCCGCACGAAGGGGGCCCGUCCGGUGCCAGAGAGGCUGAAGUCGCAGGAACAUGCGCUCGGCGCGGGCCGCGCGCGCCCACCUACCGGACCACGGGCGCGGCCGCCUCCCGCGGGCUCCGCGAGCGCCCGGCCGCCGUCCAUGGCCCCCGCCUCGGGCCCGAAGCUCAGCCGGCGCCCCAGACGAGGCCCCGCCGCCCGCUCCAUUCCCCUCCUCACGCCUCAGCUGCUGCUGGGCGCCGCCAUCAUAGAGGGUGAUCGCGGACUACGGACUGAUGAGACGAGGUAUCUAGGGGACUGUCGUCCAAGGCCGCCAACUCCAGGGAAUGUCAGGAAACAAAGACAGAGCCAGAGAAAGAGGACUUCCUUCCUGGUUGCGGGUGCACGAAUGGCUUCUCCAGCACCAGACUCCUGCCCUAGUGCUCGCCCACAGCACAGAGCCGCCAACAGCUUCCUCCAGCAGCCCCCUCAGGCAAGGCCCUAGCUGAACGCCUCCCAUAAGGUCCCUCCCCUCGAACGCCUUUCUCGGCCCCAAAAGGGUGGAUUUCCAUAAAGUUCCAGAGUGCACCUUUCCUGUGAAUUUGUGGAUUUUUAUAUUAAACUUUC
rnacentral:lncRNA from 1 species